AGAGAGAGACAUGCGCGCAUAUCAAUAAGCGGAGGAAAAGAAACUAACUAAGGAUUCCCUUCAGUAACGGCGAGUGAAGCGGGAAGAGCUCAAAUUUGAAAUCUUCAAGGUUCUACCUUGACGAAUUGUAGUUUAAAGAAGUGUUUUCUGUUGAAGUUUUGGUAAAAGUUCUUUGGAAUAGGACAUCAUAGAGGGUGAGAAUCCCGUAUUUGACCAUUAUUUCCAGCUUUGUGAUACACUUUCAAAGAGUCGGAUUGUUUGGGAAUGCAGUCCAAAAUGGGUGGUAAAUUUCAUCUAAAGCUAAAUAUUGGCGAGAGACCGAUAGCGAACAAGUACCGUGAGGGAAAGAUGAAAAGAACUUUGAAAAGAGAGUUAAACAGUACGUGAAAUUGUCAAAAGGGAAGCGUUUGACACCAGUGUUGUUUUCUCGAAAAUCAAUUAAAAAAGGCAGGAUUUUGUGUUGUAUUGACUUUAUCAGCUUUCUGCACUCUUUUCUUGUCUUUUUUUAAUGCACUUUUCGUUUAACAAGUCAACAUCAAUUUCCUUUGUUGUAAAAGGGUCAUUGGAAGGUGGCUUUCUUUUCGGAGGGAAAGUGUUUAUAGCCUUUGGCCUCUGCAAUCGGAGAGAUUGAGGUCUGCAGCGUAGAUCCUUCGGGGUUAGAUACAUUUGUGCUAAGUUAUAGCCUUUCAUAGACAACUUGUUGACUAUGAUCAGUCAUGUAGCUUACUCGCUUAUGCUAUUUUACCUACGCUUAGGAUGUUGAUGUGAUACUGCGAGCA
rnacentral:rRNA from 1 species